rnacentral:rRNA from 1 species
GACGAACGCUGGCGGCGUGCCUAACACAUGCAAGUCGAACGAAAAGAGGGAAAGAGCUUGCUCUUUCCGGCAUUGAGUGACAAACGAGUGAGUAACACGUAAACAACCUGCCUUCAGGAUGGGGACAACAGACGGAAACGACUGCUAAUACCGAACAAGUUCCACAUGACGCUUGGCCCAUGAUAGAAAAUAUGUCAUCUACCUGUAAGCUAUCGCCUUAAGAUGGGUUUGCGUCUGAUUAGCUGGUUGGUGGGGUAACGGCCUACCAAGGCGACGAUCAGUUGCCGGUAUGAGGGGAUGAACGGGCACACUGGGACUGGGACACGGGCCAGACUCCUACGGGAGGCAGCAGUGGGGGAUCUUCCGCAAUGGGCGGAAGCCUGACGGGGCAACGCCGCGGGGGUGAUGGCGGCCUUCGGGUUGUAAAACUCUGUGAUCCGGGAAGAAAAGGCAGAGUGCGAAGAACAACCUGCAUUGACGGUACCGGACAAGAAAGCCACGGCUAACUACGUG